GGCUGGUUCGAGUGCAGUGUAUUUACAACUAAUUUGAUGACAACCAGUUCCAGAUGUCUUUGUUCCUUCUUCACUCCCGCUGGGUUCACUUAACUAGCCUUAA
rnacentral:Y_RNA from 1 species